rnacentral:rRNA from 1 species
UACGAAGGGGGCUAGCGUUGCUCGGAAUCACUGGGCGUAAAGCGCACGUAGGCGGCUUCUUAAGUCGGCGGUGAAAUCCUGGAGCUCAACUCCAGAACUGCCUUCGAUACUGGGAAGCUCGAGUCCGGGAGAGGUGAGUGGAACUGCGAGUGUAGAGGUGAAAUUCGUAGAUAUUCGCAAGAACACCAGUGGCGAAGGCGGCUCACUGGCCCGGUACUGACGCUGAGGUGCGAAAGCGUGGGGAGCAAACAGG